UGACCAGUUUGCUGCUUCAUAUUAACUUCCCUCCUGCUUUCUGGGUAAAACUGCACAGAUCCAGGACAAACCAUCAUUCUGGAGCAACGCUGUCAAACAUAACCAUGCUCUCCUAUCGUAUAGCAGCCUUCUUUAUCUUAGUGCUCUUACUUCUUCAUGUUGUUGAAAAUGAAGCAGCAUCAUUUCCUUGGUCCUGUCCCAGCCUCAGCGGAGUGUGCAGGAAGGUUUGCCUUCCAACAGAGCUGUUCUUUGGACCUCUGGGCUGUGGCAAAGGCUUCUUGUGCUGUGUUUCUCAUUUUUUAUGAGGAGGACAGGUUUGAUCUGCAGUGAUCCAGUCACACUAAAAGAUGCUCCAUGCAUUAAAGAUAGAGAGAAGCAGGCAAAACGCUUUGUUUGGCUUUUUAACAGGUGGACUUUGUCACUUUUUAAUCAACUGCUCUUGUUUUGUUGCUGUUGUUGCUCAUUUUGAUCUGACAUUAAUGUUGUUUUGAAUGAAAUAUGCUAAGCUUUUUUAUUUUUUAUUUUAA